GACGAAGGGGGCAAGCGUUGUUCGGAAUCACUGGGCAUAAAGCGUGCGUAGGCGGCCAGAUCAGUCGGGUGUGAAAUCCCUCGGCUCAACCGAGGAACUGCGCCCGAUAUUGUCUGGCUUGAGUUCCGGAGGGGAGAGUGGAAUUCCCGGUGGAGCGGUGAAAUGCGUAGAGAUCGGGAAGAACGCCGGCGGCGAAAGCGAGUCUCUGGUCGGAUCCUGACGCUGAGGCACGAAAGCUAGGGGAGCAAACGGG
rnacentral:rRNA from 1 species